GGAUGCUUAGUUGGCAAAGUGUGAGACUCUUCAUCUCAGGGUUUGGGGUUCAAGUCCCACAUUGGGCAACA